CCCAUACCACACUCCCCUUUACUUAUAAACAUCUUGAGCGGGUGGUAUUUACAAGUCUAACUAACUUUUUCAAUAUUAUCUCCUUGACUCUCUUCAAUCUAGCUAAUGCUCCCUCCAUUCUACUGAAGCUGCCCUUACCAAAGUGACUAAACUUAAUCACUGCAAAAUCACUUGCUCCCCACUUCCUCUCUCAAUAACCUUAGUAACUAAUUUUUAUUUUAUUACCAUCUAUAUGCUGAUGAUACUCAGGUUUUCCUUUCCUCCCCUAACCUCUCUUCUGCUCUUCUGGAAAGCAUCACAAACUG